rnacentral:sRNA from 1 species
ACACCAGGCAACUGGCCGGAGCCGAUGGA